UUCACUUAGACACCUCAAUAGAAGGAUUUUCAUUUUAAACACCUAACAUAGGGUCUCGGUGUGUCACUUCAACACUUUUUACACAGCUGGAAUGUCACAUGAUUUUCACUGAUUCAAGGCGCGUAGGGACCUAUAUUUCUUCUGAUGUGGCGUCCCCAAAACGGUAAUAUUAUUCCACAUCAUCUAUUUAUAUUUAUUUUUUUCUCCAAUUGUACCCUAAUUAAGACCCCAAUUUUUUCAUUCUUUUCCAAUUUCUCUCUUCUUCAGCCUUUCUUUAAUUCUUGUCCCUUAAUUCUUUCAUGUCGAGCUUCUCCAAUUCUUCCAUGGCAUCUGUGGAUGAAGGUCGAUAUUGUAGGUGUGGUAAUGAAGCACUAUUAAAGACUUCAUGGACCCAAUUAAAUCCAGGGAGUAGAUUUUUACUUGUAGAAUUUCAAAGAAAAUGGGUGGCUGUGACUAUUUUCUUUGGUAUGAAGAUCGACACCCUCCUCAAGCAAACAGGGUAAUGUGGGGAUUGUUGAAGAAAGUCAAUGCUUUUGAUGAAAAAUUAAAGCAAGCAAGACAUAUAUUUAUUGUUGGUGUCGUUGCUACUGAGUUGGUGAUGUUUGGAAUAUGAAAAUUGAAGCCUAAUUGUUAGUGUUCUUGAGGUGUAGUAGUAUUUGGUGUUCAGUCUAGUAGUAUUUUGAUGUUGUUAUUGCUGUAAAUUUUCGAUGUAAAUGUGCAUUUUGGAUUCAAUGAAAUUCUAUGUUGUUGUUGCAGUAAAAUUGGUUUUUUGGCUA